ensembl:snRNA U6 U6 spliceosomal RNA
AUGCUCGCUUCAACAGAUAUACUAAAAUUGGAACUAUACAGAGAACAUUAGCAUGGCCCCUUGUGCAGGGAUGACACGCAAAUCCAUGAAGGGUUCCAUAUUUGU